rnacentral:RNase_MRP_RNA from 13 species
UCCGCGGGAAAGUCUCCGCGCAGACGCGCCGAGACGCCGCGGAGACGCUCCGCGUCGGGCGACGGCUUCGCGGCGCGCUCGCGCGAC